UCACAUCUCAAACUUAAGAUUUAUGAUUUUCAAACCUCAGGUCACCUUUGAAGUGUGAAGGCUGUAAAACAAUAACCUCCCAUCUCUUGAGACUUCUAGCAAAUUCCCCAAUUUCUAUCCCUCUCUGGAAGAUAUUCAUUGCACAUCAAAGAGAGACUUUGAUCAAAUACAUAUUGUUUUGGGUUCAAAGUUAGACAUUGUUUACUUUCUUUUUGACCAGUGUAAGUCAUACAUGCGCAUGAGUACACACAAAAAUAUCAUCCCGGUUUUCUUGACUUUUUAAAAAUUUUGCCCAAAGGUGAACUCUACUUACUGUUAUUUGCUUCAAAAUAUUUUUUUUACAAGACUUGUUCCCAAAGUUAGACUUUUAACUCUUUACUGUAAAUAAAAGGUAGAUAUUGCUAUCAUCUCUUGCCUAAACAACAACAAGCAUCUCCCUCUACCCCAAAUUCUAUUUAUGCUUUUAUUUUUCUCCUUUAUGUUCUUAGGUCAGUGUUCUUUGAAACUCUACCUCUUCAACAAGCAUAAAUGAACCACUUCUCUCCUCUCUCCAAGGAUCUAAGAAUGCCAGACUGGCUGGAGUUUGUGCUGAGAGAACUCUAUGAGGUUGCUAUGAGACAAAGGUCAAGAUGAUGUCCUUUAGAUCACUCAGAAAAUUACGAGUGGAAAUGUGCACAUCCUUAAGGAUCAGAAGAAUACAACCCUUACACUUAAAAAAAAAAAAAAACUGUGGUUAACAGCUUGUUGAGUUUAAUGUAUAUACCAUAA
rnacentral:lncRNA from 1 species